rnacentral:rRNA from 1 species
CUGGCGGCGUGCCUAAUACAUGCAAGUCGAGCGGACGAUUCAAAAGCUUGCUUUUGAAUCGUUAGCGGCGGACGGGUGAGUAACACGUGGGCAACCUGCCCUGUAGACGGGGAUAACACCGAGAAAUCGGUGCUAAUACCGGAUAACACGAAAGACCGCAUGGUUUUUCGUUGAAAGGCGGCGCAAGCUGUCGCUACAGGAUGGGCCCGCGGCGCAUUAGCUAGUUGGUGAGGUAACGGCUCACCAAGGCGACGAUGCGUAGCCGACCUGAGAGGGUGAUCGGCCACACUGGGACUGAGACACGGCCCAGACUCCUACGGGAGGCAGCAGUAGGGAAUCUUCCGCAAUGGACGAAAGUCUGACGGAGCAACGCCGCGUGAGCGAAGAAGGCCUUCGGGUCGUAAAGCUCUGUUGUUAGGGAAGAACAAGUACCGCAGUCACUGGUGGUACCUUGACGGUACCUAACGAGAAAGCCACGGCUAACUACGUGCCAGCAGCCGCGGUAAUACGUAGGUGGCAAGCGUUGUCCGGAAUUAUUGGGCGUAAAGCGCGCGCAGGCGGUUCCUUAAGUCUGAUGUGAAAGCCCACGGCUCAACCGUGGAGGGUCAUUGGAAACUGGGGGACUUGAGUGCAGAAGAGGAGAGCGGAAUUCCACGUGUAGCGGUGAAAUGCGUAGAGAUGUGGAGGAACACCAGUGGCGAAGGCGGCUCUCUGGUCUGUAACUGACGCUGAGGCGCGAAAGCGU